ensembl:lncRNA
CAGUCGGACACAGCUGCAGAAGGAGCGCAGCUCAGUCUGAUCUCAUCAUCAGCAGUUACAGCCUGGUUCGUCCCAGCAGUCGCUGCUGGAUCAUUGUUCCUGCUGGUUCCUCACCAGCCACUCUGCCCAUAUCUGCCCAGUCCUGCUCUGUCCUGCCCAGUUCUGCCCAGUCUACCCUGGAACUCUCCCGAGAGAGGCCAGAAUAAUCCCGGAGGUUCCCCCCUCUGUCCUCGCCUCGGCUCCAAGCCGCUGAUCUCCGCUGCACUCCUGCAGCCCUGGCGCCGCCUCCACAGACUGCAGGCUGCAGAACCGGUCUGCCGCCCCCCCGUUUGGACUUAUUUAAUCAAAUAUUGAGCUGCAGGAUUUUCUGGAAGCGUCUCAAACCUUCACUGCAGCUCCAGAAUCUUCCGUUAACGUGACCGAUGUUACAGCACAACGAGGACAGACUGGAGGAGGAUAUAAACCGACAUGAGGAGACGUAUUGAUGCAAGCACCUGAGAAAAGAGUCAUUAGCUUCCCUCUGAGCUCCCACUGAUUCGGACUUAAGAGGAAGAGUCGAUUCAAACAUGAGGAUCAGGA